UCACAAGAUAAGGUCUCCUUCCUUUGUACUUCAUCAUAGAUUUUACAUAUUGCUAACUUGUGCGCAACAUUCUUCUCCACUUCUGCUUCGUGUUUUGGAUGUUUUCUGGCAACCUGAUGUCCGCCAUGGUGUGAAACCUACCACUGAGAUCUACUCCAUUUUGUUGCUACCAUAACUUAGUGGAAGCCUGACUGGGAUCAAUAAACAGGCUCUGGUCAGUUGCCCUAUGCCUGGCCCUGGCAGUGGAAGUCACGAGUGAGUGAGAAUGGACUCUCAUCCCACCAUUUUAUAAGUGCGACUGCACAUAGCUACGGGCGUUGCCAUAGGAUAUGCAACCUUGCACUGGGUUUAGACAAUCACUGAAGGGAACCUCUGCUCCGUGACUGCAGCAGCCUAUGUUCAUGUCAUGGGUGAGCCGCCUGCCGCCUGUUCGAUCUUCUAGCUCCCAGUCAUCAGGCGAUCUUAUGGAGAAGCCCUCCAUACAGCUGCAGUAAGGAAGCUUGUCCUC